rnacentral:siRNA from 1 species
GACCUGAGCCUUGUCAAUAUCAAA